AAUCAACGCUGGCGGCGUGCCUCAGACAUGCAAGUCGAACGCGAAAGUCCCCUUCGGGGGAUGAGUAGAGUGGCGUCCGGGUGAGUAACACGUAGGUAAUCUACCUUUGGGUGGGGAAUAACCCCGAGAAAUCGGGGCUAAUACCGCAUAAUGCAGCGGCACCACAUGGUGACAGUUGUUAAAGCGGGGGAUCGCAAGACCUCGCGCCUAAAGAGGAGCCUGCGGCGGAUUAGCUAGNGGUAGGGUAACGGCCUACCAAGGCAACGAUCCGUAGCCGGCCUGAGAGGGCGGUCGGCCACACUGACACUGAAAUACGGUCCAGACACCUACGGGUGGCAGCAGUUUCGAAUCAUUCACAAUGGGCGAAAGCCUGAUGGUGCGACGCCGCGUGAGGGAUGAAGGUCUUCGGAUUGUAAACCUCUGUCACCGGGGAA
rnacentral:rRNA from 1 species